UGCUUUGCGCAGUGGCAGUAUCGUAGCCAAUGAGGUUAAUCCGAGGUGCGAUUAUUGCUAGUUGAAAACUUUAAGAGCAGUUAUAAGCCAAGGAAGGUCAUACUUAAAAUUUCAGAAACAUGUAUCUCAGGGCCCACUGCUAGUAU